rnacentral:rRNA from 1 species
CGCGCAGGCGGCCUAUCAAGUCAGGCGUGAAAGCCCCGGGCUUAACCUGGGAAUUGCGCUUGGGACUGGAAGGCUGGAGUUCGGGAGAGGAGAGUGGAAUUCCCAGUGUAGAGGUGAAAUUCGUAGAUAUUGGGAAGAACACCGGUGGCGAAGGCGGCUCUCUGGACCGAUACUGACGCUGAGGCGCGAAAGCGUGGGGAGCAAACAGGAUUAGAUACCCUGGUAGUCCACGCUGUAAACGAUGUGCGCUAGACGUUGGGAGGCGUAGCCUUCCGGUGUCGCAGCUAACGCUUUAAGCGCACCGCCUGGGGAGUACGGCCGCAAGGUUAAA